GUAGGUGAACCUGCGGAAGGAUCAUUAAUGAAUUCAGGGAAUUGAUGCUGGCCUCUGUGCAUGUGCUCGUUCUCUAUAAUCCAUUCACACCUGUGCACUUGUUUUCAGAGCUAGGGAGAAAUCCCUGCUCUGCUAAUCACAUACUCUUAUAAUUUACUAUGAAUGUUUAUCAAGUCGAAAGACUUUUAAAUUAAUACAACUUUUAACAACGGAUCUCUUGGCUCUC
rnacentral:misc_RNA from 1 species